GUUCCCAUAGAAUAUAAGUAAGACAAGCACUUAUUCAAGCAAAUAUUUAUGACUUUAACAUCAACCUUCUGUCAACAGAGGCAGAUCAUCCAUUACCACUGAAGUAUUACAUACUGAGACACACCAAGAUCUUGCUACAAAGAACCAAGUUAAUCAACAUAAUAUAAGAAACUUCAAGAACAAAAGAAGAGGAUCCAGGGGAUAUAGACAACAUAGUCUAAACCCUAUAACAAGAAGGAAGAAGAAGAAUGGCGGUCUUGCCAGGCGGAAGGGGACUCCGCCUCUCGGGAAUGCAGAUGGUGGAAAGCUGAAUUAGUCCCAGGCAGAAAGACCAGAGAUGCAACAAUGGAGGAGCAAACUGAUUUGAGGUGGUGAAGAGAAGGCUGCCUGUGAUGAAGUUGUUCAAGACUGGCCAAUAAAAUCAGUUUCUCUGGCUGAAAAGAGAGCAGGGAGAUGGGAGUAUCCUGAGGCCUCCAGAGAAUAUGCAUGUACACCAUUCUCGCUCGUCUCAAGGCCACAGGCUGGCAUCUGGA